UGCCUCCACUGUGGGAAGUUGUAGAAAAUGGUCUAGUGGUUUCUUCUGCCAUUUCCCUGCAGAUGAGAGAAUCAUUCGCUCUCCAUCAUGCUAGCCCUUGAGAUCUGGCCCUUGAGAGUGGCUGAUGUACCAUCCUGGAAUGCAUCAUCUCUCAUUCACCAACAGAUAUCAAGAGGCCCAAUUCAGUACAGAUGAUCACAGUUGCUGUGAGUUCCACACUGCACCACCCUUGUGAAGUCCAGAGUGCUGUUGUGAAACACAAGACCUCACACAUGCUAGGGAGGCGAUGUACCACUGAUCUCCACACUCAGCCCUAAAUAGUAAAAACCUAACAACUCCGAGCUUGGUAGAGACCCUGUUUCAAGAGCAAAAAGGAAGAAGGGAGAAGAAGAAGAUGGAGAGAAAAAUGUGAGGGUGGAGAUGUUCAGUUCUUUGUUUCCAUUCACUUUUGGAGGAAGGGAGCCCCGGAGAAGAUAUUCCCAUAGUGGAGAGACUGGAAGAUGAAGUGAAGGGUGCCAUUUGUUCACCAUCCAAGUAACUUGACUUCCAGAUCCACAGGCACUCACUCCAUGAGAUCAUUCUGUGAUGAUGCCCUGCACUACAAUUAAGAUUAGUGCUGCCCUCAACAUUAGCUGGAGAAACCUCUCUAUACAGUUGCCCAGUGGUCAAUUAAGAGAUUUCUAAUUCGUCAAAGAGCUGAGGGUGAGAACAGUGCUCAACUCUAAAUGGGACAGCUAUAUCUACCCUACCUGAAGCUCGGGAAACACUGAAAAGGCUAUCACAGGUAAAAUUUACCUUUUGUUUCCGAAGAGACUCUGCACUUCUAAACAGUGUUGGAACUGUUAAAAAGCACGGGGGCUUUUGACGUUGGAUUGAACACGUUUUACACUAUGAGAUGGCCAGGAGCCUGUGGUGACAAGAAGUAGAAGGUUAUGGGCUAAAAGCAGCAUUCUGAGGUGUCAAGUUGACAAAGGAUAGACUUAGGAAGUUUGACAGAAUCAAGAAUCCUCUAGGAGACAAACUCGGACAUGUCUGUCUCCCUUUGGAGGGAAGACUCAUCUUAAAUGUGCACACCACCAUCCCAAGGACCAGGGGCUCAUAUUACAUGGAAGAAGGACCCAUGCUGAGCUUCAGCCUUCAUUCCUUUAAGCUUCCCGGCCAUGAACACAAUGUGACUUAUGCUCUGGCUGACAUGACUUUUUGACCACGGUGCACCCUUGAGCUGUGACCCAAAAUAAACCCUUUCUCCCUUAAGUUGCUUUUGUCAGAAUUCUUCUGCAGCAACGGAAGUAACCGAGGUCAAAGGCAUAAGUAGUAUUAGCAUUUGCUUUACACUGUUUUGUUUAGAUUAAGGCUAUAUCUCAGUUAGCAGAACAUUUGUGCAAGAAUCACAAGAGAAGCCUAGAGUUUCCUCUCUAGUCUUGGAGGUGGGGAGCAACCAAAAGGGUGACACUUCACUCUUACUUCAUUUUUCCCAAGAAUGCCUUUUUUGUAUCUUUAAAGAAAAUUCUUUCUUUAUAAAGAUAUCUUUCUUGACACCUCCUAGAAGUCCACUGGUGUAUAUAAAGAAAAUAGCUUCAAAGCCCACAUUAUGCAUCAGAGUAUGGGUUAAAAGUGUUUUAAAGACUCACAUUUAUAGAUCCUUUUUAACCAAAGUAAAAAAUUCAACCAAAUGGUUCAUCUAAGAGUUUUAUCCUUGUUUUGUGAAUUUUGAAAAAGGAAUAAAAAUGUGUAUUUGCUGCAAUAUAGAUUCACUCUACAAAUUUUCACUCUAAAAAAAUUACAUGUUUUAUGAAUUUUCUUCUAUUUCUUUCUUUUCUUUUGAGAAAAGGUCUCACUAUGGAUUUCAGGCUCAUGUCAAACUUGCAGUCCUCCUGCCUCACAAUUGUGAAUGUUAGCAUUACAUUCAUACGCCACUAUGCCCAGCUUAUCAUGUGGUUUUAAAAUGUACUAUUGUAUUAACUCAUGGUACCUUUGGAGAAGACACUAAUGCUGCUGCUUUGUUUAGACACUCACAUCCUAUGACUGCUAGGUCCAGAGAAGUUGAAGUUAGAAAGCUAUGCUUCAAACAGUGUCUCUUCCCUUCCCAUGUUACCACUGCCCAUUUCCCCAUAACUACAGAUGCUGGUUUGAGUCCUUAGGCUGUAGGUUCCAACCUUGCUGUGUAGUGAAAAAUUUUGGUUUCCUUAAAAAUACAGAAAUGUUAUGUGAGUAUGUUUUUGUUUUAAUCCCAGGUGUGCAAUAUGAGGCUGCUUUAGGUUGUUCACGGUAGCAGACUAUGAUUGGUCUCAUGCUCUGGCAGGGUGUGAUUCUGCAAGCUAAAGGUGGAUUAUAUUUAAAAUUCUGGAGACUCUGAGAGUAUAUAUAAAAGUGCCAUAGCUCUGAGAGGGGGAGGCUCCUUCUACCUCUGUUGCUGCUGCUGGUGCCUGUUUCUAUAGUUUGUUAAGUGGUCACGAGAAGAGAGACAAGAAGAAAUUAGCUAUCCUGAUGAUGAAGACUGGACUUGCUCCAAGGAACCCAACAUCCUUAAUCAUCAGGAAGUAGUCUAAAGAGAUCUUUGCUCCCCUUUUCCUCUAACUGUCUUUCUCUCCUCCCUAGUGUUGGGGGUUGGAAGGGGUUGGGAUGGAGAAGGGUGGUAGAUAUAAGAACCCAAUAAAGCAGCCAACAUUGGAC